rnacentral:lncRNA from 1 species
GCAAGUUGUUUGUUUUCUAUUCUGCAAUCCCAUGGUUUAUAUCAUGCUAGAAAACAACUUUUAGAUAGACUCAAAUAUUUUGGAAACUUUGGAUUUCAUAGAGUAAUGGCUACUGCCAGUUUUUAUUAUUGCUCUUCCUUUUUCUUUAUCUGGUUAACAACUUCCCUUAUGUGAGAGAUAUCACAUAACGAGUUGCAAAUGGGUCGAGCCGACCUGUGACCUGACCCUACCUCAACCUGAACAUUUCAGGUUGGUUCCUAGUCAUGCUUGAUCCAAAUGACCUGCUGGGUCUAAAACCCUCUCCAGUGAUCUGAUCCAUUUAGCUAAUGGUUUGGUACGGGUCCAAAAUCAUGACCUGAAUAUGAAAUUGAGUUGGGUUGGGUUAAGCAUGCCUUGCUCCCUGGUCUGACACAACCCAUCUGCAGCCAUAUUGGUAAGGUGAUUGACAAAAAAAACAGCAUGAAGAGCAAUUCUUGAAAUUAUAUUGACUCUCUCUCUCUCUCUCUCUCUCUCACACACACACACACACACAGACGUGCAUGUGCCCACACAUGCAUGCAUGCACUGUCACUUGCUUUUAGUUAAGAGUCCUAGCUAAGAAAAUUUUAGAAAGACAACACAAGUUCCUCGCCCAAGUGUGGACAGAUAUCUAUGCACUAGCCAUCUUGUACAGAAAUCUUAUUGCUACCAAAAUAAAUGCACCUAGGACUAGUUCCCUAGAAAUAAUUGUGGAGUUUGGUUGAGGGAUUUCCCCCCUUUUCCUAAGCAGUCCAUCCCUAUCAUCUCUUUAUUAAUAAUGACCAUUCAUCAGAUAGCUGCAGAAUUUUUAUAUUUUGAUCUGGCUAUGUGUUAUUUUUCCCCUAGUGCUGGACCUACAUGCAUUUAUAGCUGAGUUGCAAAUAAUUUUGAAUCCAUCUCUAUAUAGUUUUAUAGAAUCUCUACUAGUGAAGAAAUUGUUUCAUGGUUCACAAGAUUUGCUUGUUUGGAAACUUUAUUAAUGAGGUAUCCGUGUUACUUGAUAACCAGAAUAUUCACGUGAGGAAAAGGGUGAGAUUAUUUCCUUGAUUUUAAACUCAUAUUUCCAACUUAUCUGCUGCAUUCUUUUUGCUUUUUGUUUGUUUGGUUGUUUGCUGUUGUUAUUGUCAUUUCUUCUUUUUGGUUUGUUCCUGGAGAAUUUAAUGAGCUGAGAAUUUUCUAGCCUAAUGUUUUUGGAUCAAAAGAACCAUGCCUACGGACGCAAGAAAGCUAAUAGCGAAGUUUCUUAUCUUUUAUAAAAUUGUUCAUCUUUUUUAUAUUCAUCGUUAUGAACUGUUAUGCUACCUGACAUUUUGUUACAAAAAAAGUUCGAAAUAAGGCUUGCGGCUCCUAGCUCUAACAUUGUUUCUUCUGUUGCUUUCUCUAUUCUGUGUAGAUGCAUAACUGUGUCGUAUGCAAAGUUUAUAAGAAAGAAAAUGAACCUGGUUCAGAUACAUAAAACUGCAGAAUUUUGAUGAAAUGCGAAGUGCCGAGUUAAAUGUAGAAAGCACCAAUGUUAUGGAGCAAUGGAGUAAUUUGUGAAGAAGAUAAAAAACGGAAUUGGUUCUUUGGUUCUUUUUUUUAGGGGGUGAGGAAAGUACAGUUCGUUUUCAGCAUAGGACUUAUGUUUUGAUGUUCAUCCUUUUGUUCUGUGAAGUGUGAAAUGAAUUUUCCUUAGAUGCAAUGAUAAGAAUUCAUCUGCGAUGUUGAAAGGCCUUCAAGGUUCUCUUAAUCAACUUCUUGCAGAAGAUUGUAGGUUCCAUAAAGCCAAAAUCAAGAGCAACAAGAAGAGUGAAAUUUGAGCAGGCUCCAAGCAACAGAAACUUGCAUGGGACAAAAUAUAUAUGAAGUCAAUUGAAUAGGAUCUGAAAGAAAAAAAGAAAAUAAAAUAAAGGGCCAUAUGGUUACGUAACUCAGGUGUCAAUUGCUUCAACCUUAGUGGUACCCAGUAUACAAGUGGAAAGAGUUUUUGAGGAGGCUGACCAUAAAAUGGGGUCGUUCUGAGUGGCCGUGUGACUAUACCAAUACUCAUCCAGUAGCCAUCUAAUCCACUCCUUAGGCCUUGAGCUUGAGAAACAUCUUGAAUAAUUCUCCAAGUACAUGUUAAGAGCCUCUGUUUGUCUAUCAAUUUGUUGUUGGUCUGACGAACUCAUUCAUAAGCAAGUUGCAAACAAAAAAGGCUCGUUCCAAAGCUAACUGGUAGAUGUGGGCUCUCGAUCUGUGGCAAUGGAGGUUGGCUUUUCAUAGAGUUUGAAGAUGUACUCCAUAAAAAUUAUUUUGUCAUUUGAAGGGGGUAGUCCAUCGAUGGUUCCAUUCAUCUAUCACUCCAAAUACAUUCAAGAGUUGGCAAAAGGCUGAAUAAGUCCCGGAGUCGCCACAUUCUCAGCUUUAUCAUGCUGACAUGUAUGGCAUACUUUGAUUGCUUCCUUGACUUCUUUUUGUGAUCCUUUCCAAUGAAAACUUUUGGAAACACAUUUAAGAGUUCUAUGAUAUCCAGAGUGACUGCCGGCUAUCAUGCAUCUCCCAAAUAUAAGAUUCCAUAAUGAAGAUGUAGGAUUGAUCAAAAUUCGACCCUUUCCGCGUAGAUUUCCAUGUUUCAAGUUGUACCUUUGCCGGUUUAAAAGUCCUUCAUCCCAUUAUUUAGUUAAUUUAGUGAAUGAAGAUCUGUCUGAUGUUCAUAUCUGAAUUGCAUUAACUCAUCUGGUAUUGGAACUAAUAAUGCAGCAAGCUCCAUCCCCCUUCAGUCAAGUGCAAUAAUUCAUCAGCUACUUUAUUCUUCUACCACUCUUACAUUCAAUUACAUAAAUCAUGCCGAGAGCCAGUUUCUGGUAUGAUGCGGCGGUUCUUUGAUUUGGUAGAAGUUUGAAGCUCCUUUGAUUGAUUGUACUGUUGAAUCUUCCUAUUCGAUUUUUUUCACUACGAUGAUUGAAGAUGAGGCUUCUGCCUUCUAGUGCAUGACUAAUAAAAGCACUAGGGUUCCCUUUUUCGGCAUCCGUAAGAGAACUUCUUUUUCUUGCUUCCAUGGCUAGGAUGAUACUUUCCAUCACAAUUUUAACAUAAACCCUGAUCAACCAGCAGAUUCAGUUUUUAUAUAGCUCAUAUUUUUACAAUAAAUGCCAGAUUUACAUGAUCUUUCAGAGGGAAAAGUGCACCAGCAUGCGCAUGUAAUCCCAGCAAGCAUUCAUGUUCUUGCCUGUUAAUGGGUCCGUAUGACAAUCUCUAUUUCAAAGUUAUUUAUGAGGAUGGUUUGUUAGUUGAACGUCAUUCAACACAGAAAACUCACUUAGAAAAUUCAAAUAGCUGGCAUAUAUCUCUCCUAUUAUUUUAUAUAUAUUUCCAGCAGUGUCUCGAGAGCUAUAGGAAAGUUUCCUAUCUGUCAUUUAAUUUUUUUUGCACGAGAUUUCUAUCUUACUAAAUUAUUUUUCAAGAACUUUUGCAGCAUUUUCCUUAAUUAUAAGCUAAAAUAAACCAUUUAGUAUUUUUUAGAAAAACCAGGAUUUGAAUCCUAUACAUCGUCCUCAAGGUUAAGUCCUCACGAGGUGGAUGCCUUAGCCUGAGAGUAGCGUAACAAAUUCAACAUACAAAUUUAAUUUUAGUUAGGCGUGGUUUCUUACAUUCAUUCAAUACAAAAAUAAGUUCGAUUCUUUCUCUGGAAAAAAAGUUAACAAGAAUAAAAUCACAUCUUCUACGCCAAUAAAUAUUUUUUUAAUAGCACGGCAGCUGCAAUAGCAGCAACAACAACGAACAACAUCAUUAUUUUGUAACAACUUUGUAAAAGUAUUUUAAAUCAGCCAUAUAUAGAUUAUUAAGAACUUUAGUUUAGCAACCGUGAAGAAUUCAAAGAAUCAUUCAGUAUACGAAUACUGCUAAAGCAACCCAGAAAUGUCGUACAACAGCGUUGUGUAGCUGGCUGUCAGCCAGUGAAGUGAUAGAAAAAGCAACGUUGUGAGCUGUAAAACUAUUUUUCGUGCGAGAUUUCUAUACGUCUCUGUCCGUUUCCGUCGGUGCAAAUCUGUCACGCGUGACGUUGAGAUUAUGAAUUCAGAGAUUGCAGCUUUUUAAUAUACACCGUAUUUCCAGCCAAAAAACCCGACCGGCCCCCGCGAUCCCUCGCGUGAUGCACGUGACGCCCGUGACGCUCCCCUCGCCGUAACAAGCGACACGAUGGAUGGGGGUUGCCGUAUCCUUCUCGCCAAAGAAGGACCUUCCUUCGCUCGAAUCCACCGCUGCAUCGCUUUGAGAUCUGUGUGAUGUGUGAUCCAACGGUGGUUUCGCGCAAAGGAGGAUGAAUCCUUCUUUCACGCGAGGGAUGCAACCCCCCGCCCCUCCCCACGCGACGUACCGCAUUGGAUUCCGACGAGGUCGAUGUUAUUCUGCGGACGCGGUAAUGGACAAGUCGACGCGAGCCUCUCCGCUCGGCUCAGCCCAUUGAGUCCAUCCUGUCCGGUGGUACGCGGCGUGGUCGGCUCUACGAAGGCGACGGCCGGGCGCCACAUCAGGCGCAUGGAACCCACAUAUUUGGAGAUCCAGAAGAAGUCCUGCAUGAAAACAGAGAAUCACGAGCAUGUAGAUCACUGGAUCUAAACGUUCUUCCAUAUUGAGUCACCGAGGGUGGAUGGAUACACCUCAAAAUGGUCUUAGGAUCAUGAGCUAAAAUGACUCUACAGACAACCUCUUCCCAUAGUCGAGGAGGUAGCAAAGAUAUAGUCCUGAAAAAUGGUAUAUAUGAACUGUUCUACGUACCUUCAAAAAAACACGCAAAGCAGGGACGAUCGACGCACCGUUUUAGUGGAGAAUAACACAAUUAUGAGAAGAACUGUCGACUUACCGUGAGAAGGCAAGAGAUCACGUGGGUUGAUGACUACGGCAAAGAACGCAACCCGGCCCCAGCUCACAGAUUAACGAUAACAUCCAUCUGGUUGGGACGUCGUACGUUCCUCCGUUCAUGCAACCAUUUGGUGUGUAGAGCUCAUACUCAAUGCAUAUAAAGCUAGUGUUAUUAUAAAGAAACUUAACAAUUAGUACGUAGCCCAUAAACUAUACGUUCAGGCAGUAUAUUUAGAGGAACCGAACCGAACCAUUCAUUCAUCGGGUUGGAACCAUGUCACCGGUGCUACUGCGGGAGUCGAUUUAAUUAAUUGUGAGAAAAGCUUUGUUUACAGGUAGCGGCCGGCCGCGCCACGGGGGCACUCCACCACCGCAGGAAUGCUCUCCCGAGACGUACAAUUUCUAGAGAGAGAUCGCAUCAGACGCACACAGCGUGGCACGACCGAACGGUGAUCGUUCCACGCCAUGCGCGUCUCAUGCCACCCCUCCCUCCCUCUCUCUC